rnacentral:rRNA from 1 species
UACAGAGGUCUCAAGCGUUGUUCGGAUUCAUUGGGCGUAAAGGGUGCGUAGGCGGCGCGGUAAGUCGGGUGUGAAAUCUCGGAGCUUAACUCCGAAACUGCAUUCGAUACUGCCGUGCUCGAGGACUGGAGAGGAGACUGGAAUUUACGGUGUAGCGGUGAAAUGCGUAGAUAUCAUAAGGAAGACCAGUGGCGAAGGCGGGUCUCUGGACAGUUCCUGACGCUGAGGCACGAAGGCCAGGGGAGCAAACGGG